rnacentral:rRNA from 1 species
UACGUAGGGUGCAAGCGUUGUCCGGAAUUAUUGGGCGUAAAGAGCUCGUAGGCGGUUCGUCGCGUCGGCUGUGAAAUCCCGAGGCUCAACCUCGGGUCUGCAGUCGAUACGGGCGGACUGGAGUUCGGCAGGGGAGACUGGAAUUCCUGGUGUAGCGGUGAAAUGCGCAGAUAUCUGGAGGAACGCCGGUGGCGAAGGCGGCAUCCUGGACCGACACUGACGCUGAGGAGCGAAAGCCAGGGGAGCAAACGGG